GACGAACGCUGGCGGCGUGCCUAACACAUGCAAGUCGAACGGAAAGGCACUGCUUUUGUGGGGUGCUCGAGUGGCGAACGGGGGAGUAACACGUGAGUAACCUGCCCUUGACUUUGGGAUAACUUCAGGAAACUGGGGUUAAUACCGGAUAGGAUCUCCUGCUGCAUGGUGGGGGUUGGAAAGUCUCGGCGGUUGGGGAUGGAUUAGCGGCUUAUCAGCUUGUUGGUGGGGUAGUGGCUGACCAAGGCUUUGACGGGUAGCCGGCCUGAGAGGGUGGACGGCGACAUGAGUCCUGCGGUACGCAGCAGACGCGUACAGGGGGCAACGGUCGGAAGUCUUGCACAGCGAGCGGGCGCCUGAGAAGGAGGCGUUGCGUUCGGAAUGACCGCCUGCUGGUUGUGAAAAGCUGUAGCCUAUGACGCAGCGUUUGUGACGGUAAUCAAUAAAGAAGCACCGGCUAACUACGUG
rnacentral:rRNA from 1 species